AUACGUAGGGGGCGAGCGUUGUCCGGAAUUAUUGGGCGUAAAGGGUUCGCAGGCGGUCUGAUAAGUCAGAUGUGAAAGGCAAUGGCUCAACCAUUGUAAGCAUUUGAAACUGUCAGACUUGAGUUAAGGAGAGGAAAGUGGAAUUCCUAGUGUAGCGGUGAAAUGCGUAGAUAUUAGGAGGAAUACCAGUGGCGAAGGCGACUGUUUGGACUUAUACUGACGCUGAGGAACGAAAGCGUGGGAAGCAAACAGGAUUAGAUCCCCUGGUAGUCCACGCCGUAAACGAUGAGUGCUAGGUGUUGGGGGUCAAACCUCGGUGCCGCAGCUAACGCAUUAAGCACUCCGCCUGGGGAGUACGUACGCAAGUAUGAAACUUCAAGGAAUUGACGGGG
rnacentral:rRNA from 1 species